rnacentral:lncRNA from 10 species
GAGAAAAAGUGGUGUCAACUUAAAUAACAGAGAGAUGCCGUCUAAAAGAAAUAAUAUUUACUUGGGAACAGGCAUUGCAAUAGGAAUACAUGUGCCAAUAGGAAUACAUGUGAACUAUGUGUGUAUUCAGGAAGGUAAAAGAAGACAGAUGCCCAGAUAGCUGGUAAAGCUUUAUUUCUGGGUGUCUAUGGGGCUGUUUCUGGAAGAGAUUAGCAUUUGAAUGAGUAGACUGAGUACAGAAGAUCUUCCUCGCUAAUAUGGGUAGGCAUCAUCCAAUCUGCUUCAGUUUUGCCAUCAGCUCCCUCCCCUGGUCCUCUGGUCUUUGUACUCUGACUGCAUUACGCCACCAGUUUUUCUGGGUCUCUUGCUUGCAGACAGCAUAUCAUGGGACUUCUUGGCCUGGUGGUAAAGAGGAGUUGGGAUUCCUGCUUAGGCCUCUUUGGAAGCAAAGCUCUUGUCUGUCUUUCUCUUAUGAUACUUUCUGUUUUUUUAGGAGACAGGGUCUUGCUCUGUUGUCCAGGCUGGAGUGUAGUGGCACAAUCAUUGGCCAGUCUAAACUGAGAUGUGUGUGUGAACUUCAAAGGCUUUAAAAAAGAAGGUAAGGCUGGGUGCAGUGGCUCACACCUGUAAUCCCAACAAUUUAGGAAGCCAAGGAGGGAGGAUUGCUUGAGCCCAGACAUUUAAGACCAGGCUCCCCUUCCACCAUGAUUGUAAGAUUCCUAAGGCCUCCCAGCCGCGUGGAACUGUGAGUCAAUUAAACCUCUUUCCUUUAUAAAUUACCCAGUCUCAGGUAUUUCCUUAUCGUGGUAUGAGAACGGAUUAAUACAGUUGUGUAAGCCAGCUCCUUAUAAUAAAUCUCUCUCCCUCUCUCUGCCUCUCAUCUAUGUAUGUAUGUAUCUGUCAUCUAUCUCCUAUAAGUUGUUUCUUUUGAGAACUCUGACUAACAUAGACAUUAAAUAAACAAUUUGUAUACUGAAUAAUUAUAUAACUACUGCUUGGGGGUGUGGUUGUGUUGUGUGGUGAGGGGGUGUAGAAAUG